rnacentral:lncRNA from 1 species
CCCUUUGAGCAUCAUCAUCAAUAGGUUGUAAAUUAAGAGCUCUAAAAGUUAUAAGUACAUUACUAACCUCACCCAAUUGCACAUCAUCACAUUCUUCCAACUCAGGCAUGUUUAGGUAAUCCUCGUCACCUGGUUCGGAUUCUUCAUCACUCUCAAAGACCAUUUCACCACCUCGAAUUGCCAUGGUUCGCUUGUUUGGACAUUGGGAAGAUAUAUGUCCAUACCCCAAACACUUGAAGCAUUGCAUUUUCUUUGAUUUGAGGUCACUUUGCG